rnacentral:rRNA from 1 species
UCCGUGGUCGUGGAGAUAGUUGGGUUAAGUCCCGUAACGAGCGCAACCCUUGUCCUUAGUUACCAGCACCUCGGGUGGGCACUCUAAGGAGACUGCCGGUGACAAACCGGAGGAAGGUGGGGAUGACGUCAAGUCAUCAUGGCCCUUACGGCCAGGGCUACACACGUGCUACAAUGGUCGGUACAAAGGGUUGCCAAGCCGCGAGGAGGAGCUAAACCGCGAGGUGGCC